AGGGUUGUGGCUUAGUGGUAGAGCACUCAACUUAGCAUGUGUGAGGCCCUGGGUUCAAUCCCCUUCAAUCCCC
rnacentral:tRNA from 1 species